rnacentral:rRNA from 1 species
AUUGAACGCUGGCGGCAUGCCUUACACAUGCAAGUCGAACGGCAGCACGGGGCAACCUGGUGGCGAGUGGCGAACGGGUGAGUAAUGCAUCGGAACGUACCCGGAAGUGGGGAUAACGUAGCGAAAGUUACGCUAAUACCGCAUAUUCUGUGCGCAGGAAAGAGGGGGAUCUUCGGACCUCUUGCUUUCGGAGCGGCCGAUGUCAGAUUAGCUAGUUGGUGAGGUAAAGGCUCACCAAGGCGACGAUCUGUAGCGGGUCUGAGAGGAUGAUCCGCCACACUGGGACGGAGACACGGCCCAGACUCCUACGGGAGGCAGCAGUGGGGAAUUUUGGACAAUGGGCGCAAGCCUGAUCCAGCCAUGCCGCGUGAGUGAAGAAGGCCUUCGGGUUGUAAAGCUCUUUCGGCCGGGAAGAAAUCGCGUGAGUUAAUACCUUGCGUGGAUGACGGUACCGGAAUAAGAAGCACCGGCUAACUACGUGCCAGCCGCCGCGGUAACAC